AUGUGCUGCUCUCAGGGCAGGAACACUCAAUAUUCAUAUUACUGUUAUUUUAAUAAACUAUGCACUGCUCUCAGGGCAGGAGCACUCAAUAUUCAUAUUACUGUUAUUUUACUAAACUAUGCGCUGCUCUCAGGGCAGGAGUACUCAAUCUUCAUAUUACUGUUAUUUUACUCAACUAUGCGCUGCUCUCAGGGCAGAAGUACUCAAUAUUCAUAUUACUGUUAUUUUACUAAAUUAUGUGCUGCUCUCCGGGCAGGAGUACUCAAUAUUCAUAUUACCGUUAUUUUACUAAACUAUGCACUGCUCUCAGGGCAGGAGUACUCAAUAUUCAUAUUACUGUUAUUUUUAGGGUACUAUGUGCUGGCAGGAACACUCAAUAUUCAUAUAACUGUUAUUUUUAGUAUAUUAUGUGCUGCUCUCAGGGCAGGAACACUCAAUAUUCAUAUUACCAUUAUUUUACUAAACUAUGCGCUGCUCUCAGGGCAGGAGUAAUCAAAAUUCAUAUAACUGUUAUUUUUACUAAACUGCGCUGCUCUCAGGGCAGGAAUACUCAAUAUUCAUAUUACUGUUAUUUUUCUAAACUAUGCACUGCUCUCAGGGCAUGAGUACUCAAUAUUCAUAUUACUGUUAUUUUUAGUGUAUUAUGUGCUGCUCUCAGGGCAGGAACACUCAAUAUUCAUAUUACUGUUAUUUUUAGGGUACUAUUUUCUGGCAGGAGUACUCAAUAUUCAUAUUACUGUUAUUUUUAGUGUACUAUGUGCUGCUCUCAGGGCAGGAGCACUCAAUAUUCAUAUUACUGUUAUUUUACUAAACUAUGCGCUGCUCUCAGGGCAGGAGUACUCAAUCUUCAUAUUACUGUUAUUUUACUCAACUAUGCGCUGCUCUCAGGGAAGGAGUACUCAAUAAUUAUAUUACCAGACUCUUUGUGCAUUUCAAAUGCAGGAAGACAUGGCAAACACUUCUGGAGACUUUGAGAAACUGCCUUUGAGAAGAUAUCUGGCAAGGCGACCUACAGUAUGGCCUGGUUUAAAGGGAGCACGUUCAAACUACAGCAGUUUAAUGAUGCAUCUACCUUUUCCUGUGAAAUCUUCCUGUGUGUUGUACAUGCAUUUAAUUCACUGGAUUUGUUUUUUAUUGUUUAAAAAGAGAAAGUAGUCAUACUUAUACUUGAUUAUUUUAUUGUAAUAUUGGACCCGUAAACUGAUUAUUUUCAAUCAACAUUUAAUUUUGUUCUUACACAAACAAUCUGUACAACAGACAUUGAAUGAAACAACAUUUACAGCACAGUAAAAAAAAAAAAAAAACACAGGCUUAGCCUAUGAGAACAUUAAGUGGUUGCACAUAGAUUGACACCGGGAACGUUUAAAAUCACAUUUAUGUGUCACCAAGUCAACUCAGGACUUCUCUCACAAUUCAGAUGGCAAUUGUUAUUCAAGGCAUUGAUGUUUGCAUACAAAACCACCACUGGCUCUGCACCCCUUUACCUAAAUUCAUUACUUCAGACUUAUGUGCCCUCUAGAAGCUUGCGUUCUGCAAGUGAACAUCGCUUGAUUGUGCCAUCCCAAAGAAGCACAAAGUCACUUUUACGGACUUUUAAAUUAAAUGUUCCCUCCUGGUGGAAUGACCUGCCCAACUCAAUCCGAGCAGCUGAGUCCUUACCCAUCUUUAAGAAUCGGCUUAAAACACAUCUCUUCCAUCUUUAUUUGACCCUCUAACUUUUUCACUCACUAUUCUAAUUCUAUUUAAAAAAAAAAAUCUAACUACCUUUUUAAUCUUUUUGUAUUCUAUCUAUUUUCUUUUCAUUUAUUAUACAAUUAUAAAAAGACCCCUAACACUAGCUUGCUCUAUUCUUUUUCUAUUCUAUCUGUUUUUCUUUUUAUUUAUUAUAUUAUUUAAAAGCCCUUGCUACGUAUACUGUGUUUAGGCUAACUGAGACUUGUUAUAGCACUUAUAUAUCAUUGCUCUUUUGUUGUUUUUGAUUGCUUCCAUUGUCCUCAUUUGUAAGUCGCUUUGGAUAAAAGCGUCUGCUAAAUGACUAAAUGUAAAUGUAAAUGUAAAUAUGGACAUAUGUAAAAAAUUAUUUACAUGGCACCUCAGCGAUAACUCAUGUAUUUGAUGAUUUAUUCACAGUGGAGAAGAAAGAUGUGAGAUCAUUAUGAACCUAGGAAUGCACUGCUGACAUGGCCAGUUGCAUAGUUGUCUGCUCUAAAUAAAAUGCCAUACUCUUGGAAUAAAAGAUUUAAAUGUACUGUAAUACUAUACUAUUUAUUAUUUAUUUAAAUCUCUGGUUUAAAAAUAGGAAAAUAGACCCAAUAUAGUUGAAAUGGUUCUUAAUUUUUAUCUCUCAAAAUGAUGGGUGUCAUUAAAAAUGUGGAGAUUAGCAUUAAUAAGUAAAUGCAACCUCUUAUUUACAUGAGGUAAACAAAGCUGCUUGGUUCGCAUUUUCAAGUACGUAAUUGUAGGCCUAUACAUAUUUUAAAAAUGGUAUUGUAUACCUGUUACUGCCAUAAUAAUUACCCAUUUCAAAUGUUUACAUGCUUUUCUGGUCUUUUUUGUUUUUAACAAGCAUC
ensembl:lncRNA